AUUAUUAUAAUUGAUUUUGUAUUUAACAAGUUGGUGGGUGCUGGUGUUGCAGAUCUUUGGGUGAUGGAGAAUCUGGGUCAAAGUUUUCGAGCCCGGUCACUGAAUCUAAUAGCCAGGAUGCAUCACUCAUUGCUUUCAGUUCCUACCCUCAAUGCUCCGUUGCUCAUGCGACACUACUUCUCUGCCCCUAGUUUCCUUGUCUCUAACUUUCCCAGCAACCAGGAAUUGGUGGAGCCGGUGACGCCAGACUAUGAUGAGGAGAGAGUCGAACAAUGUUGACGGGUCAUGGCGGUUGAACUUCGACGGUUUCCAGGUGUCCUCAGAGAGCACAAGGAGAAAAGACUUCCCCGUGGCCUCCAUGACUGCCUGGGGGUUUUAGGUAAUUUCGCAUCUUCACCUUCAUUGUUAAAGGAAUGGUAUAUUUGUUGUGAUGAUAUUUCUUUUUACUUUUUUAUGGUCUCAACUCAAAUGCCAAUAUUCUGUUGCGUGCUUUGGUAUCCCAGAAUUUUUCUUGUUUUGGUAGCUCACUUUUCUUUUUCUUUUUUUGUUAAUGAAUUAAACAAGUUGGACUCAUUUUUGUGGUGAGAUUUUAAUUUUUCUUUUUCUUACAUAUGAAUAUAAUUGCGAUUCCAAAGGGUGUGGAGGAUAUAAUUUGCCAUAUAAAAAAAUGUAAUCGGAAAGCUUAAAGUGGAGGUGAAUUGGAAACAUUUGUGGGAGAGUGCUGGAGAUGAGCGGUUUAUAGUUUAUGGGUUUUUUUUAAUGUGCUCUGUGUUAUGCAAAGUGUCUUUAGGAUUGUUGGGUUCCUUACUUGUGCUGCCCCUUGUAUUGAAUGAUCUUCAGGUUGUGUGUGAUGGAGAUUGAAACUAAUUUUUAUUCAAUGUUUUCCAGACCUGUAAUGGCAAGGUCAUGGUGCAUGCUCUACUGUAUCUCGUUCUUGGUGUAUAUUCUUCACAUGGUUUUAUUUGUUAAAAAUUAUAGUGUUGCUGAGUUCGUAUAUCUUGACAAUUAUUAGCUUGAUGACUAUCUUUAUUUUUCUUUCAAAAGAUUAAUGUGAAUUCUUUUCUUGUGUUAGCUUUCAUUUCAUAUUUUAGAGUUUUUAUCACUUUUCAAUCUUUUGUUUUUGUAAGAUUACAUUUUCCCUUUGUAUAAAGUAAUUAGUGUUUUUAACACGUAAAAAAUGUAGCCAUGUUGUUUAGUGCAGGAGAAGCUGCGUAAUAGUUGAAGCUGCCAUUAUGGUUUUUGCUGUAAAAAUUUCAAGGUUAAGGCAAUUCAAUUUUAGUUCUGCGUUUAUGACUUUUAUUGUAUAUUAGUUUCAUAGUUGGUCAUUUCAUAUUAAUAUUCUUUCAAUAGUUAAUAGCCACAUUUGUAUGAAAACUUGAUCAUAUUUGCACUGUAGUCUCUUAGGAAAAUGGAAAGGGAAAAAAAAAAAAAAAAAAAAAGGUAAGUCUUAAAGGAGAAAAAAUGAUUAGAAAGAGAUUCAAAUUUUCUGUUGUAAGUCCAGUUUAAUGGCCUUGUUGAAAUUAUAUAAAGACAAUAUCUAGUUUGAGGUUUCUUGUUUGUGGAUGUGGGUGUCCGAAUCUAACAAAGUUGUAAUUCCUUUCAUUGCGAAAUAAGGAAGUCAGUAUGGGUUUUCCUCAAAAUUUGGCCACUUGCCGAUCGAAUUGGACUUUGAGUCAAGGUAUAAACUUGCUCCCCCUUGUUGUGCUUGUUGAUACAUAUGGAUUCUGUGAUUAAGUUUUUUUUUACAGAUGCUAAUGCAAUUACCAAAAUCCUGUUUGGCAAUUGUCUUUGAUACAAUUACAUGUAUUUUUUAUUUUGUUCCACAUGCAGUGCAUUCCAUUGAUGCAAUUAGAUGUCACAUAUUCAAUUACCUACUUCAUGUCUACCAAUUGGAUAUUUGUAAAUCCAAUUGUGUUCCAAGUUUGCAUAAUAUGCAUAAUUUUGUUUUUAUCUUCCAUUAAUCCAGCUCUGUGCUAAGUAAAUCCUUUGCCUUUUGAUCUUUGCCAUUUGAUUGAUUGUUGAGAAUAUGUUUAGUUUUCUCUCUUUUUUUUUUCUUUUUUUUUUUUGUGAAUUCCACUUAUGCAAUUGGAUUUGACAUGUUCAUUUACCUGCUUCCUGUCUGUCAAUUGGAUUUUUGUGAACCCAAUUGCACUUCAAUUACCUUGUGUACAAUGUUUGUUAUUUACUUGUCAUUAAGUUAUUAACACUUGCAAUGAAAGUAGAAGUUAAUUGAUAUACUAAAUUCUAUUGUUUUUUUUUUACUUUUACGUACUUAAUCAUGGAAGAGAAGAACAAUUAAAUUAACAGUGAUUGUUUGGCAAUUACAUAUUCAUUUUUUUAAAAAGAAAGAACAGAAUGGCAAUUACAUAGUGCAUGUUUGUCAAUUGCCAACAUGACAUGGUUGUGUUGUAGCAAAAUAAAGGAAUUUUGUAUGAGCUCGGUGACGUAAGACAUGGGCUAAAUUGAAGAUGAGAGUGAUGUGGGAAAGUUCCAGUCCUUUUUUUUUUUUUUUUUUUGGUAGUGGAAUAUGGUUCAGUUUUUAUUUUUAUUUUUAUUGUUAUUUAGGUUUCAGUCUUUAUGUUAUUGGCAGCUUUUUCAAUUUUGAGAAUGGAAAUACAUUAUGUCAUUUUGUCAAUGCAAUUGACAAACAGGUAGUGUCAUUUGCAUCCUAGUCUUCGUAAUUGACAAACAAAGUAGUCCCAUUUACAUUCCAAUCGCGUAAUUACAAGCUAUAAUUGAUUAACAUAAAUAAAGUUACAAAACAUUAUAUUUCUCACAUGUUAAGCUCUUUUUAUACUUAAAAGUUUUUCUUUAUGCUAAGUCAUGUCUCACUUUUCAAUAAUGAAGGAAUAUGCACAAAUGAUUUUCAAAUUUGAGAAUGUCCAUACAGUAUGUAAUUUGUAAAUUCAAUUGACAAACAGGCAGUGUCAUUUGCAAUCGUGUCUUGCAAUUGACAAACGAAGGAGUCUCAUUUACAGUCUACUUGCGCAAUUACAAGCUAUAAUCGACAGACAUAAAUAAAGUUACAAAGUACUAUAGUUAUCACAUGUUAAGCUUUUUUUCUUCUUAAAACUAUUUUUUGUUAAAAUUAUUUGGAUUUAUAUAAAGAUACCCAAGUUUUAUUGUUUUGAAUAUGGAUAUUUUGUAGCAAAAUAAGGAAAUUUAUACAAGAUUGCAAGUUGGCGUGAUGGAUGUUGAGACAUUGGAGUGCAAGCUGGCGUGAUGGCUUUUCCAAGUGGCUUUAUGAGUUUAUAAGGACUUAUUGUCCAAGUCCAAAUAGAAAAUAUUAGUUUAAUCAUUUACAAACUUUUAUAACAUUUGAAUUGUACCAUACAUUUGGCCAAGUUAUAAUAUUUCAAUUUUAC
rnacentral:lncRNA from 1 species